AAGAGUUGCAAAACUCCCACAAACCAUCGCGAACGUUACCUAGACGUCGUUGCUUCGGCGGGCUCGCCCGCCGGGGGAACGCUACCAGACUCUUGCAGUUUAUCGGCCUCUCUGAGUAUGAUUUUUUAAAUAAGUCA
rnacentral:misc_RNA from 1 species